rnacentral:tRNA from 1 species
UGCUGGUUUGGCUGGGUUUGAGCAGCAACUUUUAUUUGUUGGAAGUGUGUCUGGUGCUGUUCGGGGCCUACGU